AUUGAACGCUGGCGGCAUGCCUUACACAUGCAAGUCGAACGGCAGCGCGGGGCAACCUGGCGGCGAGUGGCGAACGGGUGAGUAACAUAUCGGAACAUACCCUAGAGUGGGGGAUAACGUAGCGAAAGUUACGCUAAUACCGCAUACGCACUAAGGUGGAAAGUGGGGGAUCUUCGGACCUCAUGCUCAUGGAGUGGCCGAUAUCUGAUUAGCUAGUUGGUGAGGUAAAGGCUCACCAAGGCGACGAUCAGUAGCUGGUUUGAGAGAACGACCAGCCACACUGGAACUGAGACACGGUCCAGACUCCUACGGGAGGCAGCAGUGGGGGAAUUUUGGACAAUGGGGGCAACCCUGAUCCAGCAAUGCCGCGUGAGUGAAGAAGGCC
rnacentral:rRNA from 1 species